rnacentral:rRNA from 1 species
AGCGAACGCUGGCGGCAGGCCUAACACAUGCAAGUCGAGCGCCCCGCAAGGGGAGCGGCAGACGGGUGAGUAACGCGUGGGAACGUACCCUUUGCUACGGAAUAGCUCCGGGAAACUGGAAUUAAUACCGUAUGUGCCCUACGGGGGAAAGAUUUAUCGGCAAAGGAUCGGCCCGCGUUGGAUUAGCUAGUUGGUGGGGUAAUGGCCUACCAAGGCGACGAUCCAUAGCUGGUCUGAGAGGAUGAUCAGCCACAUUGGGACUGAGACACGGCCCAAACUCCUACGGGAGGCAGCAGUGGGGAAUCUUGCGCAAUGGGCGAAAGCCUGACGCAGCCAUGCCGCGUGAAUGAUGAAGGUCUUAGGAUUGUAAAAUUCUUUUACCAGGGAUGAUAAUGACAGUACCUGGAGAAUAAGCUCCGGCUAACUCCGUGCCAGCAGCCGCCGUAAUAC